AACGAACGCUGGCGGCAUGCCUAACACAUGCAAGUCGAACGGGAUCCUGGUUUCGGCCAGGUGAGAGUGGCGGACGGGUGAGUAACGCGUGGGAACCUGCCCAGUGGUGGGGGAUAACUGCGGGAAACUGCAGCUAAUACCGCAUGAGCCCGAAAGGGGAAAGAUUGAUCGCCAUUGGAGGGGCCCGCGUUCGAUUAGGUAGUUGGUGAGGUAACGGCUCACCAAGCCUUCGAUCGAUAGCUGGUCUGAGAGGAUGAUCAGCCACACUGGGACUGAGAUACGGCCCAGACUCCUACGGGAGGCAGCAGUGGGGAAUAUUGGACAAUGGGGCGAACCCUGAUCCAGCAAUGCCGCGUGAGUGAUGAAGGCCUUCGGGUU
rnacentral:rRNA from 1 species